UACAGAGGGUGCAAGCGUUGUUCGGAAUUAUUGGGCGUAAAGCGCGUGUAGGCGGCUUUGCAAGUCGGGUGUGAAAGCCCUCAGCUUAACUGAGGAAGUGCGCCCGAAACUGCUUAGCUUGAGUGCCGGAGAGGAUGGCGGAAUUCCCCAAGUAGAGGUGAAAUUCGUAGAUAUGGGGAGGAACACCGGUGGCGAAGGCGGCCAUCUGGACGGUAAAUGACGCUGAGACGCGAAAGCGUGGGUAGCAAACAGG
rnacentral:rRNA from 1 species